rnacentral:tRNA from 1 species
GGGCGAUUAGCUCAGUUGGUAGAGCAUCUCGUUUACACCGAGAAGGUCGGCAGUUCGACCCUGUCAUUGCCCACCA